UACGUAGGGUGCGAGCGUUGUCCGGAAUUAUUGGGCGUAAAGAGCUCGUAGGCGGUUUGUCGCGUCGACUGUGAAAACCUACAGCUUAACUGUGGGCUUGCAGUCGAUACGGGCAGACUUGAGUUCGGUAGGGGAGACUGGAAUUCCUGGUGUAGCGGUGAAAUGCGCAGAUAUCAGGAGGAACACCGGUGGCGAAGGCGGCAUCCUGGACCGACACUGACGCUGAUGAGCGAAAGCCAGGGGAGCAAACGGG
rnacentral:rRNA from 1 species